UUCCUACUUGGAGUGAUCUUGCAACUAAAGUUGAGAUGGGGGACUAUUCCUGGAAACUCUGCAUGCUGUUUCCAGCUUGUACAUCAAAAAAGGAAUUAGUGAUUGAUUCCCCUGAUCACCAGCUCCCUUUCUGUAGUCUGGGAAGUUAAGAGGCAGACCUGGCUACUAUGUGAUUGUGUAGAUGAGAUUCAUGCUGAAGAUGGCAUAACUGCCCCCAACAUCCCUGGAUUUCCUACUUCUGAAUUUUUUGCUACUUCAGAAAAAUUAUCUUCAAUUUGAAACAUUGUAUAAUUGCAUCCUGUUUAAGAACAUCUUUAUUUCAUAUCACAAGUAAUAUGUAAUCAUAAACUUCUGAUUUUACAUUGUGUAUAUUUCUUAAUGAUCACAAAAUGCCAUAAGAGAGGUAGAGAAUUUUGAGGAGUGGUAUGAGCAGAUAUGAUUUUGGUUGUUGUAAUAAAGUCCUUGAGUGGCAGGGAGAAUAGUUUAGUUCAAUUAGGAGGUAACCUGGGGAAGGAGCUGAUCCCAAGAGUAAAUAUUUCCUAUUUAAAGAACUCUACAUGGUAAAACAAUAG
rnacentral:lncRNA from 1 species